rnacentral:rRNA from 1 species
AUUGCAAAGAGUGGCGAACGGGUGAGUAACACGUGGGAAACCUACCUCUUAGCAGGGGAUAACAUUUGGAAACAGAUGCUAAUACCGUAUAACAAUAGCAACCGCAUGGUUGCUACUUAAAAGAUGGUUCUGCUAUCACUAAGAGAUGGUCCCGCGGUGCAUUAGUUAGUUGGUGAGGUAAUGGCUCACCAAGACGAUGAUGCAUAGCCGAGUUGAGAGACUGAUCGGCCACAAUGGGACUGAGACACGGCCCAUACUCCUACGGGAGGCAGCAGUAGGGAAUCUUCCACAAUGGGCGAAAGCCUGAUGGAGCAACGCCGCGUGUGUGAUGAAGGGUUUCGGCUCGUAAAACACUGUUGUAAGAGAAGAAUGACAUUGAGAGUAACUGUUCAAUGUGUGACGGUAUCUUACCAGAAAGGAACGGCUAAAUACGUGCCAGCAGCCGCGGUAAUACGUAUGUUCCAAGCGUUAUCCGGAUUUAUUGGGCGUAAAGCGAGCGCAGACGGUUAUUUAAGUCUGAAGUGAAAGCCCUCAGCUCAACUGAGGAAUUGCUUUGGAAACUGGAUGACUUGAGUGCAGUAGAGGAAAGUGGAACUCCA